CAUGACUGUAAGGUAGUGAUGUUUCCUUUUCCUCCACAGCCCAGGCUUGCAUCCCUCCCUGCGGUCUCCAGGAGUUCGCCCGGCGUUUCCUCUGCAGCGGGUGCUACUCUAGGGUCUGCGACCUCCCGCUGGACUGCCCAGUUCAGGAUGUGACAGUGACUCGGGGCGACCAGGCUAUGUUUUCUUGCAUCGUAAACUUCCAGCUGCCAAAGGAGGAGAUCACCUAUUCCUGGAAGUUCGCAGGAGGAGGUGUGAGUCGGGGCGGGGCCGGCGCGAAGAGUUUAGACGGGCGAGUUAGCCUUCACUAGAGGUUGGGGAGUCAGCUUGCGGGGACGGGACUCCGGGAAUCUCCGUCUAGACACAAGCAUCAGCAAGAGGAGGGUCGCGGGAUUUAGGGGAGAGCUCGAAGAUCAGAAUGCAGGACCAAGGACCUGGGGCGAUGGCUCACGCCUGUAAUCCCAGCGCUUUUGGAGACCAAGGCGGGAGGAUGGCUUGAGCCCAGGAGUUUGAGACCGGCCUCGGCAACAUAUUAAGACCCCUCCUCUGCCAAAAAAUUUUAAAAACAGCCGGGGCGUGGUGGUGCACGCCUAUAGUCCCGGCCACUGGGGAGGCUGAGCGGGAAGACUGCUUAAGUCCAGGAGUUCGAGGCUGCAGUGAGCUCUGAUCGCGCCACUGCACUGCAGCCUGGGCGCCAGAACGAGACCCUGGC
rnacentral:lncRNA from 1 species